AUUGAACGCUGGCGGAAUGCUUUACACAUGCAAGUCGAACGGCAGCACAGACUUCGGUCUGGUGGCGAGUGGCGAACGGGUGAGUAAUGUAUCGGAACGUGCCCAGUCGUGGGGGAUAACGUAGUGAAAAUUACGCUAAUACCGCAUACGAUCUAUGGAUGAAAGCGGGGGAUCGCAAGACCUCGCGCGAUUGGAGCGGCCGAUAUCAGAUUAGGUAGUUGGUGGGGUAAAGGCCCACCAAGCCAACGAUCUGUAGCUGGUCUGAGAGGACGACCAGCCACACUGGAACUGGGACACGGUCCAGACUCCUACGGGAGGCAGCAGUGGGGAAUUUUGGACAAUGGGCGAAAGCCUGAUCCAGCCAUUCCGCGUGCAGGAUGAAGGCCCUCGGGUUGUAAACUGCUUUUGUACAGAACGAAAAGGUUUCUACUAAUACUAGGAGCUCAUGACGGUACUGUAAGGAUAAGCACCGGCUAACUACGUGCCAGCCGCCGCGGUAA
rnacentral:rRNA from 1 species